AUUGAACGCUAGCGGCAUGCUUAACACAUGCAAGUCGAACGGUAACAGCAGAGCUUGCUCUGGCUGACGGGUGGCGGACGGGUGAGUAAUGCUUAGGAAUCUGCCCAGUAGCGGGGGACAACCUGGUGAAAACCAGGCUAAUACCGCAUACGCCCUACGGGGGAAAGCAGGGGAUCUUCGGACCUUGCACUAUUGGAUGAGCCUAAGUCAGAUUAGCUUGUUGGUGGGGUAAUGGCCCACCAAGGCGACGAUCUGUAGCUGGUCUGAGAGGACGAUCAGCCACACUGGAACUGAGACACGGUCCAG
rnacentral:rRNA from 1 species